rnacentral:rRNA from 1 species
UACGUAGGUGGCAAGCGUUAUCCGGAAUUAUUGGGCGUAAAGGGCGCGUAGGCGGUUCUUUAAGUCAGGCGUGAAAGCCCUGGGCUCAACCUGGGAGUGGCGCUUGAUACUGGAGGACUAGAGAGUGGGAGAGGUUGGUGGAAUUCCCAGUGUAGAGGUGAAAUUCGUAGAUAUUGGGAAGAACACCGGUGGCGAAGGCGGCCAACUGGACCAUUUCUGACGCUGAGGCGCGAAAGCGUGGGGAGCAAACAGG